AAAUCCAGUGUGAGGAAUCAGAACUUACUGAUCAUUUUAUGGAGGCUGUAUUAAAUGACAGAACAUGGCGGUGUCUCCUGUCAUUAAUAUUGACCUAACAAACACGACCAAACAGUAUGGGCUUAUCAGGGUUCUUGUCCAGUG